AAAUAGUUGUGUCAGAGAUCAUAACAGAUAUAUAUAUAUAUAUCUUUAAUAUUUAGCCAUCUAAAAGCCAAAAAUGUAAAACUUGUGAGGUUGAAUCAUGCAAAACAACAAUACUCUCCCUCCAGAUAUUCUUGGCUUGGUAAGAAAAUUCUGAGCUGGAAGGAUUCUGAUUGUGAUUAGUGUUCCAUACAUUAUUUUGUCUUUUGUCUGAAGCAAUGCUGAAUACAACCUCAGUCACUGAAUUUCUCCUUUUGGGAGUGACAGACAUUCAAGAACUGCAGCCUUUUCUCUUCGUUGUUUUCCUUACCAUCUACUUCAUCAGUGUGGCUGGGAAUGGAGCCAUUCUGAUGAUUGUCAUCUCUGAUCCUAGACUCCAUUCCCCUAUGUAUUUCUUCUUGGGAAACCUGUCCUGCCUGGACAUCUGCUACUCCAGCGUAACACUGCCAAAAAUGCUGCAGAACUUCCUCUCUGCACACAAAGCAAUUUCUUUCUUGGGAUGCAUAAGCCAACUCCAUUUCUUCCACUUCCUGGGCAGCACAGAGGCCAUGUUGUUGGCCGUGAUGGCAUUUGACCGCUUUGUGGCUAUUUGCAAGCCACUUCGCUACACUGUCAUUAUGAACCCUCAGCUCUGUACCCAGAUGGCCAUCACAAUCUGGAUGAUUGGUUUUUUCCAUGCCCUGCUGCACUCCCUAAUGACCUCUCGCUUGAACUUCUGUGGUUCUAACCGUAUCUAUCACUUCUUCUGUGAUGUGAAGCCAUUGCUAAAGCUGAGCUUAAUCAGUGGCUGCUCAGUACUGUCACAGGGACAAUCGCCAUGGGCCCCUUCUUUCUCACAUUACUCUCCUAUUUCUACAUUAUCACCCAUCUCUUCUUCAAGACUCAUUCUUUUAGCAUGCUCCGCAAAGCACUGUCCACUUGUGCCUCCCACUUGAUGGUAGUUAUUCUUUUGUAUGCACCUGUUCUCUUCACCUAUAUUCAUCAUGCCUCAGGGACCUCCAUGGACCAGGACCGGAUCACUGCCAUCAUGUAUACUGUGGUCACUCCAGUACUAAACCCACUGAUCUACACUUUGAGGAACAAGGAAGUGAAAGGGGCCUUUAAUAGAGCAAUGAAAAGGUGGCUUUGGCCUAAAGAAAUCUUGAAGAACUCUUCUGAAGCAUAAAUAAACAAUUAAAAAGAUGAGUUUGUAAUUACAUUGUUUCUUAAAUUAUUUAGAAAUGUACAACAGAGGGAACUGGAUAAAACAAAAAUAUAUGGAAAAAUAUGCUGUAGUUGUAUUUAACAAUGCUUUCCUGGAUUAUAUAAGGGACAUUUGAAUGAAUGGGAUACUAG